rnacentral:rRNA from 1 species
CCUACGGGGGGCUGCAGUAGGGAAUAUUGGUAAUCUGGGAAACCGGGAACCAGCAACGCCGCGUGCGCGAUGACGGCCUUCGGGUUGUAAAGCGCUUUUUAAAGGGAUGAGGAAGGACAGUACCUUUAGAAUAAGCCUCGGCUAACUACGUGCCAGCAGCCGCGGUAAAACGUAGGAGGCGAGCGUUAUCCGGAUUUACUGGGCGUAAAGCGUGUGUAGGCGGUUUGAUAAGUUGGAUGUGAAAGCUCCCGGCUUAACUGGGAGAGGUCGUUCAAAACUGUCAGACUUGAGAGUGGUAGAGGGAGAUGGAAUUCCGCGUGUAGUGGUGAAAUGCGUAGAUAUGCGGAGGAACACCAGUGGCGAAAGCGGUCUCCUGGCCCACUUCUGACGCUCAGACACGAAAGCUAAGGUAGCAAACGGGAUUAGAUACCCCAGUAGUC